ACGGAAGGCAGCAGUGGGGAAUAUUGCAUAAUGGGGGAAACCCUGAUGCAGCGACGCCGCGUGAGUGAAGAAGUAUCUCGGUAUGUAAAGCUCUAUCAGCAGGGAAGAAAAUGACGGUACCUGACUAAGAAGCCCCGGCUAACUACGUGCCAGCAGCCGCGGUAAUACGUAGGGGGCAAGCGUUAUCCGGAUUUACUGGGUGUAUAGGGAGCGUAGACGGUUCUGCAAGUCUGAUGUGAAAGGCAGGGGCUCAACUCCUGGACUGCAUUGGAAACUGUGGAACUAGAGUGCCGGAGAGGUAAGCGGAAUUCCUAGUGUAGCGGUGAAAUGCGUAGAUAUUAGGAAGAACACCAGUGGCGAAGGCGGUUAGCUGGACAGUAACUGACGCUGAGGCGCGAAAGCGUGGGUAGCAAACAGGAUUAGAUACCCUGGUA
rnacentral:rRNA from 1 species